rnacentral:rRNA from 2 species
GGUGAGUAAUGUCUGGGAAACUGCCUGAUGGAGGGGGAUAACUACUGGAAACGGUAGCUAAUACCGCAUAAUGUCGCAAGACCAAAGAGGGGGACCUUCGGGCCUCUUGCCAUCGGAUGUGCCCAGAUGGGAUUAGCUUGUUGGUGGGGUAACGGCUCACCAAGGCGACGAUCCCUAGCUGGUCUGAGAGGAUGACCAGCCACACUGGAACUGAGACACGGUCCAGACUCCUACGGGAGGCAGCAGUGGGGAAUAUUGCACAAUGGGCGCAAGCCUGAUGCAGCCAUGCCGCGUGUAUGAAGAAGGCCUUCGGGUUGUAAAGUACUUUCAGCGGGGAGGAAGGGAGUAAAGUUAAUACCUUUGCUCAUUGACGUUACCCGCAGAAGAAGCACCGGCUAACUCCGUGCCAGCAGCCGCGGUAAUACGGAGGGUGCAAGCGUUAAUCGGAAUUACUGGGCGUAAAGCGCACGCAGGCGGUUUGUUAAGUCAGAUGUGAAAUCCCCGGGCUCAACCUGGGAACUGCAUCUGAUACUGGCAAGCUUGAGUCUCGUAGAGGGGGGUAGAAUUCCAGGUGUAGCGGUGAAAUGCGUAGAGAUCUGGAGGAAUACCGGUGGCGAAGGCGGCCCCCUGGACGAAGACUGACGCUCAGGUGCGAAAGCGUGGGGAGCAAACAGGAUUAGAUACCCUGGUAGUCCACGCCGUAAACGAUGUCGACUUGGAGGUUGUGCCCUUGAGGCGUGGCUUCCGGAGCUAACGCGUUAAGUCGACCGCCUGGGGAGUACGGCCGCAAGGUUAAAACUCAAAUGAAUUGACGGGGGCCCGCACAAGCGGUGGAGCAUGUGGUUUAAUUCGAUGCAACGCGAAGAACCUUACCUGGUCUUGACAUCCACGGAAGUUUUCAGAGAUGAGAAUGUGCCUUCGGGAACCGUGAGACAGGUGCUGCAUGGCUGUCGUCAGCUCGUGUUGUGAAAUGUUGGGUUAAGUCCCGCAACGAGCGCAACCCUUAUCCUUUGUUGCCAGCGGUCCGGCCGGGAACUCAAAGGAGACUGCCAGUGAUAAACUGGAGGAAGGUGGGGACGACGUCAAGUCAUCAUGGCCCUUACGACCAGGGCUACACACGUGCUACAAUGGCGCAUACAAAGAGAAGCGACCUCGCGAGAGCAAGCGGACCUCAUAAAGUGCGUCGUAGUCCGGAUUGGAGUCUGCAACUCGACUCCAUGAAGUCGGAAUCGCUAGUAAUCGUGGAUCAGAAUGCCACGGUGAAUACGUUCCCGGGCCUUGUACACACCGCCCGUCACACCAUGGGAGUGGGUUGCAAAAGAAGUAGGUAGCUUAACCUUCGGGAGGGCGCUUACCACUUUGUGAUUCAUGACUGGGGUGAAGUCGUAACAAGGUAACCGUAGGGGAACCUGCGGUUGGAUCACCUCCUU